AGAAUCAACGCUGGCGGCGUGCCUAACACAUGCAAGUCGCACGAGAAAGGGACUUCGGUCCUGAGUACAGUGGCGCACGGGUGAGUAACACGUGAAUCAUCUACCUCCGAGUGGGGAAUAACUGAAAGAAAUCUUAGCUAAUACCGCAUAACACUUACGAGUCAAAGCAGCAAUGCGCUUGGAGAGGAGUUCGCGGCAGAUUAGUUAGUUGGCGGGGUAAUGGCCCACCAAGACGAUGAUCUGUA
rnacentral:rRNA from 1 species